rnacentral:misc_RNA from 1 species
AGAUGGCGGAAAGAAAUUUCGAGCACAUUGUAGAAGUUUCUGGUUACAAUUUGCUUUCGUACCGACAGAUCCUUAACAGAAAGCGAUCCGUUUUCUACGGUGUGCUCGAGUUGUACCGCACAGUCCUGUCAUACGUGUGUGAGUAGGAAAUCGUUUGUGUCUUCGUAAUUAGAAUAACGAUGGCCAAAUGGGGCGAAGGAGAUCCUCGCUGGAUUGUUGAAGAGAGGCCCGACGCAACUAACGUUAACAACUGGCACUGGACUGAAAAGAAUGCUUCACAAUGGUCUAAGGACAAGAUAGAAGAGCUUCUUCAUGGUUUGGAGAUCAGUGACAACAUUGGCAGUUGUAUCAUAACUGAAAUUGAAAAAAUGGAGGGUGAAGCAUCUGCCAACAAUCGCAAGGCUAAGCUCAUAUUUUUCUUUGAAUGGAAUUUGCAUCUCAAAUGGACUGGUAAAGUGAGUGGCACUACAAAAGGCAUUGAAGGGACAAUCAUCAUCCCUAACUUGAGUGAUGAAAACAAUGCGGACGAGCUUGAUAUCAAUGUAACCACAUCUUCUACUGGGCCUGAUGCAGAUGCUCUAAAGCAGAUGAUGCGUACCGUUGGAGCCAAACUGAUCAAAGAACAACUUGCAAAGUACAUUAAAAGUUUAAAAGAAGAUUUCACCCAAGGUAUGAUUUUACCAAAGAAGGACGCUGAAGUUAACAAUGGCGAGCCGAUCAAAAUCGUUAAGGACCCUGGCGUUAAAGUGCCGUCCUCUGUUAGUACCCCAGACAUGAAGCAAUUACAGAUAGGAGUGAAAGUUGAGAUGAAAUCAUAUACUUGCAAACAAAAUUUUAAAUGCCCACCAGUUGAACUGUACAAUGUCCUAACCCAACCCGAGUUGAUGCGCGCAUUCACCUGCGCUCCGGCACAAGUAAAUUCUUCGGUGGGCGGGAGAUUUAGCCUCUUUGAUGGAAAUAUAACUGGGGAGUUUGUUGAGCUGGUCCCCAAUAAAAAGAUAGUGCAAAAAUGGAGAUUUAAAACCUGGCCAGAAGGUCAUCAUUCAAUGGUGACUACAGAACUACACGAUGAAGGGGAUUCCACGGAAUUAUCGCUGAACCAAACUGGAAUACCAUCCAUCGAGUACGACAAGACUCUAGAGGGAUGGCAGAGAUACUACUGGGAAGCGAUCAAACGAACCUUUGGGUUUGGCGCCUUUCUUCUUUGAUCGUCCAUAAAACGGGCAUGUCACUCCUAUCGCUCUUACACAAAAAAAACAUGUCACCUGUGGAAAUGAAUGAAACCGUAUCGAAACAGA